CAGUCGCCGCGGUAAUACGUAGGAGGCAAGCGUUGCCCGGAAUUAUUGGGCGUAAAGGGCUCGCAGGCGGUUUCUUAAGUCUGAUGUGAAAGCCCCCGGCUCAACCGGGGAGGGUCAUUGGAAACUGGGAAACUUGAGUGCAGAAGAGGAGAGUGGAAUUCCACGUGUAGCGGUGAAAUGCGUAGAGAUGUGGAGGAACACCAGUGGCGAAGGCGACUCCCUGGUCUGUAACUGACGCUGAGGAGCGAAAGCGUGGGGAGCAAACAGGAUUAGAUACCCCGGUAGUCCCUGUCUCUUAUAC
rnacentral:rRNA from 1 species